GUAAUAGUUAUGGUCUUGAAACUUAAAAAAUUUGGCGGUAUUUUAGUCUAUUCAGAGGAACUUGUCCUAUAAUUGAUAAUCCUCGUUGGACCUUACUUAAAUUUGUUGUCAGUUUAUAUACCGUCGUUAUCAGAAUAUUUUAAAAGAAUAAUAAUUUUCUUUAAUUUAAAUUUAAUUGUAUUUCAGAUCAAGGUGUAGCUUAUAUUUAAGUAGAGAUGAGUUACAUUAAAAUUAUUUAAAUGGAAAUUAAUAUGCAAAAUUAAUUGAAGGUGGAUUUGAGAGUAAAUUUAUACAGAU
rnacentral:rRNA from 1 species